AGCCUUGAGGUGAAUAUCAUAUUGGAUUGCAAAUCCAAAGAAGUAGGUUAACGCCUGCCGGGGCUU
rnacentral:tRNA from 1 species